rnacentral:rRNA from 1 species
AGGCAAAUCCGCUUUGAUAAUGCUGGGAUGUGAUGGGGAGCGAAAUUUAGUAGCGAAGUAGCUGAUUUCACACUGUCAAGAAAAGUCUCUAUCGAGGUUAAAGGUACCCGUACCGCAAACCGACACAGGUGGGUGAGGAGAGUAUCCUAAGGCCAGCGAGAGAACUGUUGUUAAGGAACUCGGCAAAAUGACCCCGUAACUUAGGGAUAAGGGGUGCCACCAUCAGGUGGCCGCAGAGAAUAGGCCCAAGCGACUGUUUACCAAAAACAUAGGUUUCUGCUAAGUCGCAAGACGAUGUAUAGGAGCUGACGCCUGCCCGGUGCUGGAAGGUUAAGGGGAUCUGUUAGAGCAAUCGAAGCAGUGAACUUAAGCCCCAGUAAACGGCGGCCGUAACUAUAACGGUCCUAAGGUAGCGAAAUUCCUUGUCGGGUAAGUUCCGACCCGCACGAAAGGCGUAACGAUUUGGGCACUGUCUCAACAACAGACUCGGUGAAAUUGUAAUUCCGGUGAAGAUGCCGGAUACCUGCGACAGGACGGAAAGACCCCAUGGAGCUUUACUGUAGCUUGACAUUGGGUCUUGGUACUACAUGUACAGGAUAGGUGGGAGGCUUUGAAACCAGGACGCCAGUUUUGGCGGAGCCAUCCUUGGGAUACCACCCUUGUAGUACUGGGACUCUAACCAUAGGCCAUGAAUCUGGUCUUGGGACACUGUCAGGUGGGCAGUUUGACUGGGGCGGUCGCCUCCCAAAAGGUAACGGAGGCGCUCAAAGGUUCUCUCAGUACGGUCGGAAAUCGUACGUAGAGUGUAAAGGCAAAAGAGAGCUUGAUUGCAAGACAUACAGGUCGAGCAAGGAUGAAAAUCGGACUUAGUGAUCCGGUGGUUCUGCGUGGAAGGGCCAUCGCUCAACGGAUAAAAGCUACCCUGGGGAUAACAGGCUUAUCUCCCCCAAGAGUCCACAUCGACGGGGAGGUUUGGCACCUCGAUGUCGGCUCAUCACAUCCUGGGGCUGUAGUAGGUCCCAAGGGUUGGGCUGUUCGCCCAUUAAAGUGGUACGCGAGCUGGGUUCAGAACGUCGUGAGACAGUUCGGUCCCUAUCCGUCGCAGGCGUAGGAAAUUUGAGAAGACCUGUCCUUAGUACGAGAGGACCGGGAUGGACGUACCUCUGGUGUACCAGUUGUUCUGCCAAGGGCAUGGCUGGG